UGUAGCAUCUGGAAACGUGAUAAAUCAUCACAUUUGGGAAGAAGCGAAAAGCCCCUGCACAUUUGUCUUUAAAAGAGCCCAGGUCUAUCCAUCAGCCACAGAGAAAUUCAUAGAAAUCAGAGGCAACUGUGAGGAAUGUCAUGGCCACAUUCACAUAAAAUGUGACGGAGAGCCUGAAAUGAACAGCCCAAUGGUGCUCAAGUGCUUAAUUAAAAACUCUGACUCCCUGCACACUGGCUGUUCGAAGCCUGCGAUGUCUGGUAACUUGCCUGUGCAGAUAGUCAAAGAACUGUGUGAGGAAAGAAUGGAACCCUGUUUAUGACAACGUGGCAAUUUUUCAGAGCACACUUGGUAGUGUGCGGAAGCAUCGGCACGUCCCUAAUAGCAAGUGCAUAUAGCUGAAACAUUCUGUACUAUUUUAACAUGUUAUUUAUUCCACCGUGGCAGUUGUUCAGUGCACAUUUGUAAGCAUGCGAAAGUAUCAGAACGUCCUUAAAUAGCAAGAGAACACAGCUGAAACAUUGUAAUUUUUAAGUAUGUAAUUUAUUCCACCAUAGUAGCUAUUAAGGGCACAUUUUUAAGCGUUUAAAUGUCCCUAAUAGGCAGAGCAUGCCGUUUUUUUGCUGCAGGGUGGUUCCUACUAGGUCUGCUAAUGGGACCGCCCUCCUGACUGGCUGCCUAUAAAGUCACCCGCUCCAGCGGUGCUGAGCAGCGAGAUGUCACGGAGAAGAGUGUGUCCAGUUUGUCGGCGUUUCUACACCAACGUGCAGGCUCAUCUCACCCAGAUUCAUCAGCAGGGUCCAGAGGAACGCUGGCUUCACCUGGCGGCAGCGAGCGAGCGGGUGAUAUGCGGGUGCUCUGGACUGCCCGGUGUCUGCAUGUGGCAAGAAAGGUUUCCGCCGGCUAGACUGCCACCUGUUCCACCUUCACCAGCUCGCCGGGGACACGGUCAGGAAGCUACUGCUCAGCGCCAAAAUAAAGCUGCUCGACAACAACUACAAGCUUUCGGUGAGGCGAAGAAAUCUAAAAGUUGCAAAUGUUCUGAACUGAUCGAAAAGUAGCAAAACUCUCCGCAGAAUUUGAGCGGCUGCAAGCGAUAGUAGCCCGGAAAGAGUAGUGGCUCUGUGGGUGAGUACCUAAACUAUCUCUAGGCCUAUUUUUAUUGUGUGUGGGCGGCGGACUCCAGGUGGUCGCCCGGGGUGGACGUCCCAGGAUGAAAUUUGUUUUUCUUUCACUGAUCCCCCCCCCUUUUUUUUUCUCUUUUCCAGAGCCAAUGUUAAGUGUACACGGCUUGGCUGACAAGCCUCAGAUAUGUCCCCAAAGCCGCGGCCAACGGCAAGCAGGAGAGGAGACACGUCGAGGGCUUCCUUCACUUUAUGUGGGCCAACGCAGACAGUCCCCUGGCAGCUGCUGGCUCAUUACCCAAAAACACUUAAAAUUUAACAUAGAAGCCAAUACUCACAUCAACCUCUGAACCCAGUUGGAGAUAGAAAAAAAGACACCAGCCGUGAGUGAGAAGAAGCAAGGGUCCAGAUUUAUUGUUCCGUUCCACCACACGAGAUCCACACCGAUGAGAAUUCUCAGAAGUGAUCUGAUACCCUGAGCUUAAGCUCCAGUAUUUAUACUGUAAUUACACAGUAAAUAACCCAUAUGUUUCAAGAAGACUAUGAUCUCAAUACCAAUAGGGUUAAAAAAGAGCUAUUCAACUUACCAUUAGCUCAAAAAACAGGGCUUUUCAACUUACAAAUAUAAUCAAAACCAGUAGCUUGACUCAGCUACCCUUAUAAAUGGCUCCUCAUGGUUUUCUCUUAAAAUUAAGGCCUUCCUUGCGAGACAAGAAUCUUCACCAUCUGAAUUAUGAGUGCCCAUCGUCAUUCCUUCUUCUCCCCUUUUCUGGAUCUGGACACUCAUUAUCAGCUUGCGCAUCUAACUGCUGUUAUCAUGGUGCUACUUAACUAUCUUCGCAGCACCCCCUCUGGAAAUGGAAAUGCGCAGCCAAAACCCCCCUCCAGCUUUCAGUCUGAGGAAGAUGUCACCUUCUCUGACCUGGUCCCCGACCAUUCUUCCCACUUCUCACCUGCAAGUCCGCCCCACUCUCAGUGGUCCUCUCACUUCACCUUUGCUGACUUUCCCAUGUCCCCAGGAUGCACACCAUUUUCUUCCCCCCACCACUCUCCUCAAGAUUACGCACCCACCAGUCCUGUGAAUUAUCAAUAAAACUACAUAUUACUCAUACUAAGUGUCCCUCAUGUUUAUUUCAUGUCAUUUUUAUCCACAACAUAGCCCACUUGAAGUACAUCGACAAUGUCUUGAGAGUCCUUGAAUGGAUGAAAUCACUGUGCCAGCGGUACAAGGUCACUCCGGUCAAGUUAUUUCUGACGCGUGUUUCCAAGUUCCUCCAUUAACUCGAUGAGUAACUGUCCAAGGGCCGAGUUGGCUCCACGAGGCUGUGGAGUCUCCAGAGACUGCUGCAGUGGGAGUGCAGACAUCUGUCCGGUCGAGUCGUGCUCCACAGGCAAGGCGUGCGAGCGGAGAAGAGUGAGGGAGUACUUACAGCUCCUGCACGGCAAACUGUUGGACGCUGUCCCUGUUUCACUGGCUGAUCUGAACUCGUCCAGCAGACCCGGACAUGCUCAACCGUUGCAUCGGGCUGCUGUGUGCUCACUUCUUUUCGGUCAGCGGACACAGGACCGGAGUCCUGCAGAACCUCACGACUGAGGAGUUUGAGAACCUCGAGAAGGCUGACUCUUUCUGAUCAAUGUGAAGCAGCACAAACCUGCCUCUGCUUUUGGACUCGCUAAGCUAGCCAUCACCAAGCUGGAGCUGAAGUGGCUGAAAGCUUUCUGCCGCCUGAGGAAGCAUAUGCCGGGAUAUGAGACUUCUGUGGGGUGGCUUUUCUUUUCUGGCACACAGGCCAGGAUUUCUGCGCAUGUCAAGCUUGCCCUGCGGGCACUCGUGGGAAGGGACAUCACUGUGUCGGACAUCCGCACAGCUCUAGCAACCUACUGCGAACGCAAAAGACGAACAACGCAUGCUCGUGACCAAGACGAUGUGCUACAGCAAUUAGCUGAGUCGUGGAGCUGUCGGUCAGCGAGGCGCACUCUGCCCAG